rnacentral:rRNA from 1 species
UGGCGGCCAGCCUAAACAUGCAAGUCGAACGAACUCUGGUAUUGAUUGGUGCUUGCAUCAUGAUUUACAUUUGAGUGAGUGGCGAACUGGUGAGUAACACGUGGGAAACCUGCCCAGAAGCGGGGGAUAACACCUGGAAACAGAUGCUAAUACCGCAUAACAACUUGGACCGCAUGGUCCGAGUUUGAAAGAUGGCUUCGGCUAUCACUUUUGGAUGGUCCCGCGGCGUAUUAGCUAGAUGGUGGGGUAACGGCUCACCAUGGCAAUGAUACGUAGCCGACCUGAGAGGGUAAUCGGCCACAUUGGGACUGAGACACGGCCCAAACUCCUACGGGAGGCAGCAGUAGGGAAUCUUCCACAAUGGACGAAAGUCUGAUGGAGCAACGCCGCGUGAGUGAAGAAGGGUUUCGGCUCGUAAAACUCUGUUGUUAAAGAAGAACAUAUCUGAGAGUAACUGUUCAGGUAUUGACGGUAUUUAACCAGAAAGCCACGGCUAACUACGUGCCAGCAGCCGCGGUAAUACGUAGGUGGCAAGCGUUGUCCGGAUUUAUUGGGCGUAAAGCGAGCGCAGGCGGUUUUUUAAGUCUGAUGUGAAAGCCUUCGGCUCAACCGAAGAAGUGCAUCGGAAACUGGGAAACUUGAGUGCAGAAGAGGACAGUGGAACUCCAUGUGUAGCGGUGAAAUGCGUAGAUAUAUGGAAGAACACCAGUGGCGAAGGCGGCUGUCUGGUCUGUAACUGACGCUGAGGCUCGAAAGUAUGGGUAGCAAACAGGAUUAGAUACCCUGGUAGUCCAUACCGUAAACGAUGAAUGCUAAGUGUUGGAGGGUUUCCGCCCUUCAGUGCUGCAGCUAACGCAUUAAGCAUUCCGCCUGGGGAGUACGGCCGCAAGGCUGAAACUCAAAGGAAUUGACGGGGGCCCGCACAAGCGGUGGAGCAUGUGGUUUAAUUCGAAGCUACGCGAAGAACCUUACCAGGUCUUGACAUACUAUGCAAAUCUAAGAGAUUAGACGUUCCCUUCGGGGACAUGGAUACAGGUGGUGCAUGGUUGUCGUCAGCUCGUGUCGUGAGAUGUUGGGUUAAGUCCCGCAACGAGCGCAACCCUUAUUAUCAGUUGCCAGCAUUAAGUUGGGCACUCUGGUGAGACUGCCGGUGACAAACCGGAGGAAGGUGGGGAUGACGUCAAAUCAUCAUGCCCCUUAUGACCUGGGCUACACACGUGCUACAAUGGAUGGUACAACGAGUUGCGAACUCGCGAGAGUAAGCUAAUCUCUUAAAGCCAUUCUCAGUUCGGAUUGUAGGCUGCAACUCGCCUACAUGAAGUCGGAAUCGCUAGUAAUCGCGGAUCAGCAUGCCGCGGUGAAUACGUUCCCGGGCCUUGUACACACCGCCCGUCACACCAUGAGAGUUUGUAACACCCAAAGUCGGUGGGGUAACCUUUUAGGAACCAGCCGCCC